UCGGGCCGACUUGGGUGGGAUUUUGCGGGGGGAGAAGAAGGGAGAAGGUGACGUGCGUGGCGCCAUGAUCGGAAGUCUGGGUUUAAUUCUGAGCUGCGAGGUGGAAAAUUUGCGUGGGAGGGCGAUUUCAGAGGUGAAGCCUCGCCUUCCCUUCUCCUGAGCAGAAGGGUUGUUCUAAAAGCUGGUUUUGCUGGUCUUUCAUUCUGGCUACAGGCAAUUCCAAAGGCCUAAAAUAAGAAACUGGUAUUGUCUUACCAUUUGACUUUUAAGAAAUCAGAUCUCGCACUCCAGAGAAAAAGGGUUUUAAGUAUGUGAAGAUGCUGAGGCUGUGGCAUAAACAUUGCAAUGCACAGAAGUUAGAGAACAAGACUGUCUUAUGGCCUUGCAUUCUAGUUUUUCUGGCUUUUGAUAAAUUUUUAUCUGGCCUCUCAUAAUGACCUCCAAAUAACUGCUGUAGACUAUCUGCUUAUGGAAAUUACACAAAUAAUUUCAAGAGCAACUGAAACUACUGUAAUACCUUCCUUGCAACCUUCACCCUGUGUAAGAUAAGUACAUAUUCAUUCUUUUUAGAGGCUACUGAAAUAUAGAAAUAUUUACUUCAAAACUUAC